UCGUACGUCGCCCAUGCAAUCCAGACUGCAGUGCGAGCUCUACGUAUAACCUUCGGUCUCAGUCAUCUGGGAGAUUUUGCGGGCGCCGCGCCACGGACAAUGCCACCCAGGCUCGGCCAACAAACCCGCUCGGCGAGCAAAGCAGUUCGCAAUACACAAGUUCUACCCACCUUCGGAGCAGGAAGUAAGCAACCCGGGCGCCGAGGAAUUGGGAGCGCCAGGGCCAGGGCAGCAGGGCCAGGGAUGGAUGGCGCGGGAGGGGGGGGGCAAGGUAAGGCGCGGGGAUGCAACAGGCCCCUCGUGCCCGCGUGAGUCGUGUGCGUGCGUGCUCCCCUCAUGCCCGCAUAAGUCGUGUGCUCCUCUCACGCCCUCGUGAGUCGCCCGAUCAUGUAUGUGCUCCCGCAGUUGUCGCUGCACCCAGCGUUCCCUCUAGCACAUGCCGUGCUGGGCGGCUAGCUGCGCUGUCAGCACUACGGCACAAUGAACGCGCCGAGGUGGCGAGGUUGGCGUGCGUGGACAGCAGGAACGGGCACCGCUUGCGGUUGCAUGCAUCCAGCUCGCUCACCCGG
rnacentral:lncRNA from 1 species